rnacentral:tRNA from 1 species
AAGGUAUUAAACAGAAAAUAUUAUUAUAUAAAUAGUUUUAUAUAUAGCGAACCUACAAGCCUUUUUUUGUUUUUAUAUAGAUA